UGGUAGGGGCAGACUCUCUGGUCCCAUUUC
rnacentral:piRNA from 1 species